AAGCAGUCACUGCCAUCGGGGUCUCACUUCGGUCGGUGUCAUUCUCCAGCCAUCUCGGCUGCAUUGUCACUAUCAAUUUCGUCGGACUUCCGUGGACUUCUCGGCUUAAUAGUUGUGUGGCAAUGGAGGCGUUCUUGUUCUAGUUCAGGCCAUCAUGAACUUAAAGUUAUCGGGGCUCAGACAAUAUUUCCUCAUACAUAGCUGCUAUCUCCCGCCUAAAAUCUAAAGCUUUAUCUAUUCUUUUGCACCUUUGUGAAGCUGAAAGUGUAUCCUACCUGGAUGAGGUGGCCAGCAACACAACAACUCGGGAUGUGGCAAAGUCUGUUGGACUCGAGGUUCUUCAAUUGCUGAAAAAUGUUUGGUAUAGAUUCAAGACAGUUAAAAGCUCCCUCCGAGGCAAGUUACCCGAAGGGUCAACUGGAACGUAAUACAAAGCGCUUGGCAGAUGUCGUCUCAGAUGCUUCAAAUUUUCGGUCAUUCAUCAUGAUAAACUUUGUUCACAGUUGAGUCAUUCUGAAUCUUUAGUUCUAAGAGUUUUGAAUGAAGAUGAUGUAUAACUGCUGAGGU